GAGUUUGAUCUUGGCUCAGAACGAACGCUGGCGGCAGGCCUCAAACAUGCAAGUCUAGGGGUGUAGCAAUACACACCGGCGGACGGGUGCGUAACACGUGGGAAUGUACCUAUUGGUUCGGAACAACUGCGGGAAACUGCAGCUAAUACCGAAUGUGUCCUUACGGAGAAAGAUUUAUCGCCAGUAGAUCAGCCCGCGUCCGAUUAGCUAGUUGGUGGGGUAAGGGCUCACCAAGGCGACGAUCGGUAGCUGUCCUGAGAGGAAGAUCAGCCACACUGGGACUGAGACACGGCCCAGACUCCUACGGGAGGCAGCAGUUGGGAAUCUUGGACAAUGGGGGAAACCCUGAUCCAGCCAUGCCGCGUGAGUGAUGAAGGCCUUCGGUUGUAAACUACUUUCGACGGGACGAUAAUGACGGUACCCGUAGAAGAAGCUCCGGCUAACUUCGUGCCAGCCGCCGCCGU
rnacentral:rRNA from 1 species